ACCAUAUUAAAAACAUUCACUAAUUGAUCCUAAUUGUCACACUAGGAAAGGAGAGAGUGAGGAAAAUGUGUUGAGUGUAAAGUUGUCAGUCGGGGAAUAACACAGGGCUGUGAAUGAGCCCCGUCACUGUGAUCAGGCUCCUCCUUCUAAUCCACCAACUUAGUGUUGAUGAAGACUAAACAGAGAGAUCACAGCCUUCUUUAUACUUGCUGGAGCUCACAGUUCCUCAACACUGCAGAUAUGACGCCUCUGUUCAUCUCAGUGUUGCUGGCUGCUGUGUGCCUUGAAUGCAGAGCACAAAAAGACAACGUGCUGCAACCAGAAGGAGACGUGACUGCUGCUGAAGGAGAGACAGUAACACUUGGCUGUCUAUAUAACAGCAGUUCAUCAAAUCAUAAUCUCUUCUGGUACAAACAGGAUGGAAACAACAGCCCUGAAUUCAUACUGAGCAGCUUUAAGAUCGGUGAGGGGAAAACAGAGGACGAGUACAAGGAGAGAUUUUCAUCCACACUGGAUUCCACCUCAAGAUCAGUUCCUCUGAAGAUCCAGAAGCUUCAGCUGUCUGACUCUGCUGUGUACUACUGUGCUCUG